AGUGAACGCUGGCGGUAGGCCUAACACAUGCAAGUCGAACGGCAGCACAGUAAGAGCUUGCUCUUACGGGUGGCGAGUGGCGGACGGGUGAGGAAUACAUCGGAAUCUACUUUUUCGUGGGGGAUAACGUAGGGAAACUUACGCUAAUACCGCAUACGACCUACGGGUGAAAGCAGGGGAUCUUCGGACCUUGCGCGAUUGAAUGAGCCGAUGUCGGAUUAGCUAGUUGGCGGGGUAAAGGCCCACCAAGGCGACGAUCCGUAGCUGGUCUGAGAGGAUGAUCAGCCACACUGGAACUGAGACACGGUCCAGACUCCUACGGGAGGCAGCAGUGGGGAAUAUUGGACAAUGGGCGCAAGCCUGGUCCAGCCAUACCGCGUGGGUGAAGAAGGCCUUCGGGUUGUAAGGCCCUUUUGUUGGGAAAGAAAAGCAGCAGGUUAAUACCCCGCUGUUCUGACGGUACCCAAAGAAUAAGCACCGGCUAACUUCGUG
rnacentral:rRNA from 1 species